UGCCACCAAUAGGAUUUUUAUAAUUAGAUGAAAAGAGAGGAUACAAGGGGUAGAGAGGGUAAUCAAGUCCUUUCAACCACUAGAGAUGGACCUUCAACAAGAAAUCAACAAGGAAGAGGAGUGAUGACCAAGUUUAAAGAAGAGCUCCACCUUUAAUGAAGAUAUUCUUCUAAUGUUAAUUUAAUUCUAAUCCUUAGAAAAUUCCUAAACCUGUAAUUAAACUUCAUUUUUCUCCACCUUAAAACCUUUCAAGCUAUCUCUUCACUUGAUUUUCUUGAUACACAAUCUACAACAACACCAAGAGAUUGUAUUAGCACAAAAUAAAGUAAUUAAAUAACCAAAAACAAUAAAAAAUUGCCUUCUAAGCAAGCCUAAGACUUAUAGGAUUUUCCUCCCGACAAACGCACCAAAAUAUGAACUGAAAUAAACCUUCACUAAUUGGAAGUUUUUUUUAGUUCAUAAAAAGUGACUUGACUAGGUGAAUUUUAAAAUAAGGCCAUUAUUCAAAUUUUAAUCCAAUCAUUAGUUGUUAUUGUUAAAACACCAAGUUAUUAAUCAAAUCUUCCAAUCAUUAUUCACAUUCACAAUGAUAAUUCACUCAUUAAACUUCAUGUAAAAUAAUUCCUUCUUUUAAUUCUAAUUAUAUAAUUUAGUUUUAAAUAUUUUUUUUUUCUUUUUUUUAAUUUUUUAUUAGGUUAUUUUAAUUUGAUUUUUUAUUAUUUUUAUUUUUAUUUUAAAAUAUAUAAAUUAUUAAUUCUUAAAUAAUUGGUGGUAAGAGUGAUUAAUUAAUUUAUUAUUAUUAAUCCAUAUUAAAGGUAAAAUCUUAAGUAAAAAUUAAAAGUUUAAGUUUUAAGAAAUUGAAAAUAAAAAAUAAAGUUAUUGAUUAAGUAAAAAGUAAAAAUUAAAAAUUAAAAAUAAAAGUUAAAAGUAAUAAGUAAAAGUUAAAGUUCAAAUUUUACAUUUGGAAGUUACGAGUUACUGUAAAAAUAAAAGAGAAAAUAAAAACUAAGAAGGAUGAAGAGAAGGCACCUUGAUAACGACCAAGAAUUUAGGGCAGCAACUCCCUUCUACUCCAAAAUUCGCCAACCAUUCGUAUCAGCUUCAAUUCUAAUGAUUUUUGCUUGGUUGGAAACCUAACUUGAAGGUGCUCCUACUCUAAGAAAUUGUGUGGCAAUCCAAUACCUGAGGCAUGCGCAAUGCUCCUUCAAAGUUGAAUAACUGAGACCGCCAUGGCAGCUUACCACCCUUCACGUCAAAAUGCACCAAAAAUUCGGAUCUACUUCAAACGUAAUUAAACAUCUGCCAUUGAAAGCUAAACUUGUAUGUGCUCUUAUUCUUAAAAUUUCAGAAUGUUUUAAGAAAACGGCACUGAGAAAUGUCUUUUCAAAGACUGGUGACCCAAACUACCAAGGCAGCCGACCCCCUCGCACUCAAA
rnacentral:lncRNA from 1 species